CCACGGCCCCGCCCCCGCUCCUUCACCGCCUUCUCCCAGGAGGAGGGGCUGUGCGGCUCCUGCCUGGGGGCCCUCAGGCCGCAGGCGGGCGUGAGCUUCGGGGACCUUAGGGGGCUCCCGCCUCCCCGGCCAUGCAAGCGGGAACAGUCUCCUUCUCUCGGAGCGGUCUCACUGUCGCCAAGGCUUGAGUGCAGUGGCAGGAUCACAGCUCAUGGCAGCCUCUAUCUCCCAGGAUGAAGUAAUCCCCCUUCUUCAGCCUCCCAAGUAGCUGGGACUACAGGGAGUUGUAUUCAGUUAUCAAAACAACAGUUAUUUUGUAUAAACUGCAUCAGAGACAACUGAAGAUGAAAGAACUACCAUCUCCACAUACAACUAAUUUGUGCAGUGCACCAGAAAGAACCUGUUUAAAUUUCCAUGCCAAUUUACAACCUCCAUACUCUGCCAGAUUAUAGAUCCAGACUCCUGUGCCUGACCACUGCCCAUGGCCAACUCUCUGCUGACGACCAGACUUGACUACACAAGUUGUUGGGUACUUUGACUAGAACACCAACCAAGUCAUUGGAAAUAUAAUGCUUUGUUCUUUCUAGCUCCAAGAUAUGAACAUGUGACAACCCAAACAAACAAAAUCCCAACAAGAUUGUCAGAUAUGCAAAUUACAGUUGACCUUGAACAACAGAGAAGGUAGAGGUGCUGAUCACUGGCACAGUUGAAAAUUCAAAAGUUUUGACUCCCCUAAAACUUAAUUACUGAUAACCUACUGUUGACUAGAAGCCUACUGAUAAUAUAAAUGAUUUAUUAACACAUAUUUUAUAUGUUAUAUGUAUUAGGUACUGUAUUAUAAUAAAGUAAGCUAGAGCAAAGAAAAUGUUAUGGAUAAAAUCAUAAGAAGGAGAAAAGGUAUUUACUCUCCGUUGAGUAGAAGUGGCUCAUCAUAAAGAUCUUCAUUCUCAUCGUCUUCAAAUUGGGUAGGCUG